GCGAUGAUAGUGCAGUGGUAGCACAUCCGACUUCACAAUACGGAUGGCUCUGGUUUGAUUCCAGGUCGUCGCC